GAAAAGUUGUUUGUAUUAUCAGUUUAUACAGAGAUCUUGUAUUGCAUAAGAGUGCAAUUUAUCACACUCUUUAUUAAGAUAUUUGCUUUAUUGUGGGUGGUCGGAAACCAAACCUGCAAUAUCUCCCAAGUUUGCUUUAUUUCCAGUUCAUGGAGUCUGAAUUGAUGGAAGUCUUAUUGAUUGAGCAGUUGAUUGAUUGUUUUUUGUUUGUUUUUAGAUUAUCAUCUGUGGAAGACAGAUCAUCUGUAGUUACUUGUCUCAAAGCAUAGAGUUAAAAGUGGUUCAGCAUUACAUUGGUCAAGAUGGACAAGCUGUAGUUCGAGAACAUUUUGACUGCCUCACAGCCAAACAGAAAUUGCCUUCGUACAUACUAGAAAACAGCGAACUGACUGAGUUGUGUGUGAAGGCCAAAGGAGAUGAAGACUGGUCGAGAGACGUGUGCCUGGAAUCCAAGGCCCCUGAGUAUAGCGUCGUCAUUCAGGUGCCAUCUUCAAACAGCUCCAUUAUUUAUGUCUGGUGCACAGUUUUGACUUUAGAACCCAGCUCUCAAGUGCAGCAGCGAAUGGUGAGUGCUUUCAGAUCCUAAAAUAUGGCAUACGACUUUGACCUUUCCUGUUCUGAAAUAAAUUAAGGUCAGAGUGACCCAGGGAAGAGAUUUAUUACAAGUUUGUCUCAGCAUCAAACAGCUGGAAUACUGCAACAAAGCAAAUAUGAAAGUUGUUCUGUCCUUUUAUUUUUAUAGAUUGUGUUCAGCCCUCUUUUUAUCAUGAGGAGUCAUCUUCCAGACCCCAUUAUCAUACAUUUGGAGAAAAGGAGUCUGGGAUUGAGUGAAACACAAAUUAUUCCAGGAAAAGGACAGGAAAAACCACUGCAAAACAUAGAACCUGACCUUGUACAUCACCUAACAUUUCAAGCAAGGUACUGGGAAAAUCCUUAACUUUUUCCUCAAAUUCAGAAGAAAAGGUACCUUGUCCUGUCAAGGGGGGCAAGAAAGGAUAGAGUUUUUUGUGUGAUUUCUUAUGAGAAUGUUAUUUUUAAAUUGCCUUGCCUAGUGUUCUCCUGUUCUCUUCUGUAGUUGAAGAUAAAAUUCAGCCGCGUUCAAAAUGAAAAAGAGGGAUGAUCAGAAAAUCUAAUUGACAACAUAAUUUCUGUAGAGGAACGAGAGAGCUCCACCCUAGCACUGGGGAGGAAAGUCCCAGAUCAUUCCCCAAACUGUUUCAUCAUCCCUGAAGCACCAAAAAUUGACUUGCUCUCACCAAAAAAAAAAAAAAAAAAACACACACACAUUGGUUUAUAAUACAUCUGAUAAUCAUUCUCGUUUUUCCUUUCCAUUUCCUAGAGAAGAGGAUGACCCUUCACACUGUGCUGUUCCCAUCUCAACAUCCCUCAUUAAGCAGAUAGCCACUAAGAUACACCCCGAAGGCACAGUCACUCAGAUACUUGAUGAGUUCUACGGGCCAGAGAAGUUCCUUCAACCCACAUGGCCCUAUAAUAAAAAGGACUCUGACAGGUAAGGGGCUUCCCUGAUAGCUCAGUUGGUAAAGAAUCUGCCUGCAAUGCAGGAGACCCUGGUUUGAUUCCUGGGUCAGGAAGAUCCCUUGGAGAAGGGAAAUGCUACCCACUCCAGUAUUCUGGGAUUCUCUUGUGGCUCAGCUGGUAAAGAAUCUGCCUGCAAUGCAGGAGACCUAGGUUCAAUCCCUGGGUUGGGAAGAUCCCUUGGAGAAGGGAAAUGCUACCCACUCCAGUAUUCUGGCCUGGAGAAUGCCAUGAACUGUAUAGUCCAUGGGGUCACAAAAAAGUCGGACAUGACUGAACAACUUUCAUUUAAACUUUUCACUUUCUGACUGUU
rnacentral:lncRNA from 1 species